CUCCGUAACGCAUAAAGCUGACAACGGAUGCCUAGGGUGUUUACGCCGAGGAAGGACGUAUAUGGCGACGAUACGCGCCGGGAAGGAGCCAUAAUCCUGCGAUCCGGCGGUUUCCGAAUGGGGAAACCCGGCCGACGUAAGUCGGUCAAUCCGCCGUAAAGACGGCCCGCAAGGGCCGGGAUAGCGACGGGUAGGAUACCAUCUGAACUGAAACAUCUAAGUAAGAUGAGGAAAAUAAAUCAAGUACGAGAUUCCGUCAGUAGCGGCGAGCGAAAGCGGAACAGCCUAAACCCUGCGCAAGCGGGGGGUUGCAGGGCUCCCGAUAUGGGAUGAGAUUGAGGUAGCAGAACUGUCUGGAAUGGCAGACCAGAGGACGUGAAAGUCGUGUAUGCGAAACCGAAAUCUCCCCUAGGGAGUUCCUAAGUACCAUGGGCCACGAAGGGCCUGUGGGAAUCUGGGUCAACCACGAUCCAAGGCUAAAUACGUAAACACACCGAUAGUGAACUAGUACCGUGAGGGAAAGGUGAAAAGCACCCCGAAAGGGGAAUGAAAUAGUACCUGAAAUUGUCAGCUAACAAACAGUCAGAGCUUGUGCAUGGCACCAGGAAAUCCGAAGCACGAAAUACGAAAUCCGAAACAAAUCCAAAACGUUUCGAAUUUCGAAGUUCGAAUUUCGGUUUUCUCGUGCUGUGCACGAGUAAUGGCGUGCCUAUUGAAGAAUGAACCGGUGAGUUGCCGAUUGUCUGCGAGUUUAAUCCCGAUUAAAUCGGGAGGAGGCGCAGCGAAAGCGAGUCUGAAUAGGGCGACAAUAAGCAGAUAUCGGCAGACCCGAAACCGUGUGAGCUAACCAUGAGCAGGGUGAGUCCCGACGAAAGUCGGGAGGAGGCCCGAACCCGUCAGAGUUGCAAAUCUGUGGGACGACUUGUGGUUAGGGGUAAUAUGCCAAUCGAACACGGAGAUAGCUGGUUCUCCCCGAAAUAUAUUUAGGUAUAGCGGUCAAUCAAACCUUCGGAGGGGUAGAGCACUGAAUGAUGCAUGUGGAGCAAUCCAUAUGUUUCAAUCAAACUCCGAAUACUUCUGAAGGCUACUUGGCCAGUCAGACAUGCGGGGCUAAGCUCGUGUGUCUAAAGGGAAACAGCCCAGACUCUCGUCUAAGGUCUCUAAUCCAUAGUAAGUGGUUAAGGAGGUCGCGGUUUAAAGACACCCAGGAAGUUGGCUUAGAAGCAGCCAUCUUUUAAAGAACGCGUAACAGCGCGCUGGAUGAAAACUGCGGCGCCGAAAAUGAUCGAGGCUCAACUAUGGUACCGACGACAGAGAUCUUGUCCGUGGGACAAGAAAAUUCGAAGCACGAAGCACGAAAAUCGAAACAAUUUCAAAACGUUUCGAAUUUCAAAAUUUCGGAUUUCGGAUUUCCUUGCCCUGCGGGCAAGGUGGUAGGGGAGCGUUCUUGUUGCAGUGAAGGCCAGCCUGUAAGGGCGACUGGAGCGGCAAGAAGUGAGAAUGCCGGUAUGAGUAGCGUUUGAGGGUGAGAAUCCUUCAUGCCGAAUGCGCAAGGUUUCCGAAGCAACGUUCGUCGACUUCGGGUAAGUCGGAUCUAAGGCGAGGUCAUCGUAAUGGUGGCGUAGCUCGAUGUAUAAACGGUUGAUAUUCCGUUACAGUGAAGUGUCGUCUAAGACCUAAAGGGAUGACAGGAUGGGAUGUGUCUGUGGGUUGAAUACUCGGCCCCUAAGCUCUGAGGUAGUGAUGAUCGGUAAAUCCGUUGUCAUGUUUAAUUCAAGGAGCGGGGAAGCCCAAGCCGCAAGGUGCGGGCAAUACAGAUAGUUUCGUACUCCGGAAAAAUCUCGUUAGGGAGCACUUUAUUUCCGUACCGCAAACCGACACAGGUGCGCUGGUAGAGUAUACCAAGGCAAGCGGGCGACAGUGGUUCAAGGAACUCGGCAACANNNNNNNNNNNNNNNNNNNNNNNNAUGCCUUCCCCGACGUAAGUCGGGGCGCAGUUAACGACGCUAAGCGACUGUUUAACUAAAACACAGGUCUCUGCGAAGCCGUAAGGCAACGUAUAGGGGCUGACACCUGCCCAGUGCCGGUAAGUUAAGUGUUGUAGGUGACCUAUUCGCAAGAUUAGGAAGCUUGUGACGCAAGCUCCGGUGAACGGCAGCAGUAACUAUAACUGUUCUAUGGUAGAAUUUUUCGCUGCCAUAGUGAGGUAGUCAAACCUCUCAUUCCGUCCCCGUGUAAUAAAGGAAAGGAUGGUAUGAAAAAUUGCACUAUAUGCUGGAAAACCUGAGAAUCCUUUGCUACUAUGGUUAAUAUGUACCAUAGUGAAAAUGCAGAAGGUGCAGGCAAUCAGCAGGAAAGACUAACCCUUGGUGGAUUGUUGGUUUUGUCGACGGCGAAGGAUGUUUUUCCGUCAGUAGAUUCAAAAACUCAACCUGUAAAAGCGGUUAUCAGACUCUAUUUGAGUUUGUAGUCACUCAGGGGGAGAAAAGCAAACUGACGUUGGAGGCAAUCAAAAAAUAUUUUGAUUGCGGAAAUAUUUACAUCAAUCGCCGGUAUGACAAUCAUCAUUACAAUUUAUUCAGGUACUGUGUACGAAAACAGGAAGAUCUCAAAAAUAAGAUUGUUCCAUUUUUCAGAAAGUACCGUUUACAAUCGGCCAAACGAAUACAGUUCGAAGAGUUCUGUAAGCGGCUGCAGGUUUAGAAUCCUCAACGACUAUACGUGCAACCCGCCCAGGGCGGGAAGAUAUAGUCUGAUCUCCGAUGCGAGUCGGAGUUAACAUCAAACUGAGCGAAAUUCCUUGUCGGGCAAGUUCCGACCCGCACGAAAGGUAGAACGACUUAGCGACUGUCUUGAACCAUUACCCGGCGAAAUUGAAAUGGCUGUGAAGAUGCGGCCUACUCACGCAUGGACAAAAAGACCCCGUGGAGCUUUACUGCAACUUGGCACUGAGGACUCUAUUUUGACUGUCGAGCAUAGGUGGGAGACUUCGGUCGUAAUAUGGAAUACCACUCUUCGAAAUGGGGAAAUCUGACUUAUCCCGACGUAAAAAUCUCGGGAGAGGACACUGUCUGGUGGGCAGUUUAACUGGGGAGGUUGCCUCCAAAAUCGUAACGGAGGCGUACAAAGGUUGGCUAAUCCCGAAUGGAAACCGGGACCCGUCGUGCAAACGCAUAAGCCAGCUUGACUGCGAGACGUACAGGUCGAGCAGAGACGAAAGUCGGUGUUAGUGAUCCUCGGAUCCCUCGUGGGAGGGACCGGGCUUAACGGAUAAAAGCUACCCCGGGGAUAACAGGCUGAUCGCUUCCGAGAGUCCAUAUCGACGAGGCGGUUUGGCACCUUAACGAACACAUCGGGGUGCUUCCGCAGUAAUGCGGGACCAAAUAAAUCUGGCUAAUAUCGGUGAAGUCCUGAGUUGAUCGUGGAGAUCAUUAGACUGAUAAUAAUAUUGAUGAUCGGAUCAACGGAUAAUACCGAGGGAAGCUUGACAGAAGAACAAAAAGAAAUUCUUGAAAUAAAUUUCUGUCAUAGCCCCGUAUCGACUGAAUCCCGACUCUGUCGGGAUGAGAUAGUUCUUUGUAUCGCGAACUAUCAUACGCCAGCUCCCGAUAAAAUCGGGAUGAAGAUAUAGUCAAAUCUCAUGGGAAACCGUGAGGGCAAAUCCGGAAACGGAAUUGCGAUGUCGGCUCAUCCUAUCCUGGGGCUGGAGAAGGUCCCAAGGGUCCGGCUGUUCGCCGGUUAAAAGGGUACGCGAGCUGGGUUCAGAACGUCGUAGACUUAAAGUUUUGCGACCGUCGGUGGUAACAUCGAUGUAAAAUCUGGCUAAUAACGGUGAAGCCCUCCUUUCUUUUCCGAACGGAGAGAGGGUAAUACCGUGGGAAGACGAGGUUUUGUGGUUGAAAAGACGAAAGCGUAUAUUGCAGGAUUUCUUGAUGGAGAUGGUUCAAUAUUCCUACAGUUGGUUUACCGGAAAGAUUACAUCCUCGGAUAUCAGGUACGCGCAAGUAUUGUGUUUUAUCAGAAGCAGGAUCAGAGAAAGAUCCUGCGUUGGCUGAUUCAUAAGCUACGCGUAGGGUAUCUGAGAGACAGAAAUGACGGUAUUGCUGAAUACACAAUUGUCGGACUGAGAGAAGUAGGAAUAAUUCUCAGUCAACUGGAACCUUAUCUAUUAUUGAAAAGGAAGCAGGCGCAGUUGGCAUUACGGAUAAUUUCCCGUUUUGGGCAAGUGUCCCGAAUUACUCCGGGUAUUCUACUUCGGAUAGCAAAAGAGGUAGAUAAAUUCGGAAAGCUGAACUAUUCCAAGAAACGCCUGAAUACUGCUGACACAGUACGUAAAUACUUUUCCACACACAAAAUCCGUCCCCGUAUCGACUGAAUCCCGACUCUGUCGGGAUGAGAUGGCCUAGAGAAAUACUCCGCCAUCAUACGCCAGCUCCCGAUAAAAUCGGGAUGAAGAUAUAGUCAGUACCACUAGAAAUAGUGGAGCGCAAAGAAUAAAAACUUUGCUAGGAUUUUGUCCUAUAAUACGGAGACAGUUCGGUCUCUAUCCUGCGUGAGCGUUCGAUUGUUGAGGGGAGCUUUCGAUAGUACGAGAGGACCUCGAAGGACCGAUCCCUGGUGUGCCAGUUGUCUCCCUGAGAGGAGGCACCGCUGGGUAGCUAGAUCGGGACGGGAUAAGUGCUGAAAGCAUCUCAAGCACCAAGCCCACCCCAAGAUGAACAAUCGUUAUCAGACCCGUUGCAGAUUACAACGUAUAUAGGCGGGGAGUGUAAGAACCGUGAGGUUUUCAGCUUACCCGUACUAAUCGGUCGAAGUUAUGGAGUA
rfam:Candidatus Gottesmanbacteria bacterium RBG_16_52_11 RBG_16_scaffold_141, whole genome shotgun sequence.